CACUCGGCCAGCGUCACCCCUGCCCGUCUCUUACCCAGACUCACUGCCGGGCAUCUGGAGAACAGGAUUUGGAUGCGGGCAGGCCCUCUUUUCUGCUUCCCAAAGAUCAUGCAUGCUUCACCCCCUCAAAAGCAGAAGAAGUUAGUGAAGAAUCCGACCACGGCACCCUGUGCAAUGAAGGCAAUUUGAAAAUGAACUUUGGAGCCAGCCGGCUACGGGUUCAAAUACUGGUGUGAUUUGGGCAAACACCUUAAACAUUCUGGAGUUUCAUUUUCUCCCUAAGAGCAGCAAGACGCCGUUACCUAGUUAAUGAGACAAGUGUAAGCUUCAUGAGUAACAGACGCCUGUGUGACGGCUGGGUUUGAACACAAGCACAGAAGUGUUAGUGUGUGCUCCUUUCUUUCCUCUCCAUUUAUUUAUUGAUCGAGUCAAUAAAUAUUAAUUGGGAACCUC